rnacentral:rRNA from 1 species
GAUGAACGCUGGCGGCGUGCCUAAUACAUGCAAGUCGAGCGAACAGACGAGGAGCUUGCUCCUUUGACGUUAGCGGCGGACGGGUGAGUAACACGAGGGUAACCUACCUAUAAGACUGGGAUAACUUCGGGAAACCGGAGCUAAUACCGGAUAAUAUUCCGAACCGCAUGGUUCGAUAGUGAAAGAUGGCUUUGCUAUCACUUAUAGAUGGACCUGCGCCGUAUUAGCUAGUUGGUAAGGUAACGGCUUACCAAGGCAACGAUACGUAGCCGACCUGAGAGGGUGAUCGGCCACACUGGGACUGAGACACGGUCCAGACUCCUACGGGAGGCAGCAGUAGGGAAUCUUCCGCAAUGGGCGAAAGCCUGACGCAGCCACGCCGCGUGAGUGAUGAAGGUCUUCGGAUCGUAAAACUCUGUUAUUAGGGAAGAACAAACGUGUAAGUAACUGUGCACGUCUUGACGGUACCUAAUCAGAAAGCCACGGCUAACUACGUG